rnacentral:rRNA from 1 species
UACGUAGGGGGCUAGCGUUGUCCGGAUUUAUUGGGCGUAAAGAGCGUGUAGGCGGCCAGGUAGGUCUGCUGUGAAAACUCGAGGCUCAACCUCGAGACGUCGGCGGAAACCAUCUGGCUAGAGUCCGGAAGAAGAGAGUGGAAUUCCUGGUGUAGCGGUGAAAUGCGCAGAUAUCAGGAAGAACACCCGUGGCGAAGGCGGCUCUCUGGGACGGUACUGACGCUGAGACGCGAAAGCGUGGGGAGCGAACAGG